rnacentral:tRNA from 1 species
GCGGCUUUGACCUAGUGGCUGGGUAGUAGCCUUCCAAGCUAUAUACGUGGGUUCAAUUCCCACAAGCCGCU